UCUAUAUAAGCCGCCCUCCCCCACUGGUAGAGGGGUUAGAAAAACAUUGUAUUCCAUAUUCCACUCGACAGCAAGCUCCGAGAGCACUGAGACGUAGGGCUGUUACCUCCACCGCUGAGGGGCCUGAACUCAUACAACCUCGCACUGAGACGUAGGGAUGUUACCUCCACCGCUGAGGGGCCUGAACUCAUACAACCUCGCCGUAGCUAGGACUCUGCCCAUCUCAUUCGUACCCUACACAUCUACUGUC
rnacentral:lncRNA from 1 species